rnacentral:rRNA from 1 species
AAGUAAAAGUCGUAACAAGGUUUCCGUAGGUGAACCUGCGGAAGGAUCAUUAAAGAAAUAAUCUCGAGGGCCGAUGGAAAGGAGAGAGGGUUGUAGCUGGCGUAAGCACGUGCACGCCCUCUUUCUCGACCUGGGUCCUUAUGGGCGCGGGGCGACCCGCGUCUUCAUAAGCCCCUUCGUGUAGAAAGUCUAUGAAUGUUUUUAUUAUCAUCGACUCGCGACUUCUAGGAGACGCGAUUCUUUGAGACAAAAGUUAUUACAACUUUCAGCAAUGGAUCUCUUGGCUCUCGCAUCGAUGAAGAACGCAGCGAAUCGCGAUAUGUAAUGUGAAUUGCAGAUCUACAGUGAAUCAUCGAAUCUUUGAACGCACCUUGCGCUUAUCGGUGUUCCGAUGAGCAUGCCUGUUUGAGCGUCAUUAAAUUCUCAACCCCUCUCGAUUUGCUUCGAGAGGGUGCUUGGAUAGUGGAGGCUGCCGGAGACCUGUUUUUUCAGGACUCGGGCUCCUCUGAAAUGUAUUGGCUUGCGGUCGACUUUCGACUGUGCAUGACAAGGCCUUUGGCGUGAUAAUGAUCGCCGCUCGCCGAAGUGCACGAACGAAUGGUCUCGUGCCUCUAAUCAGUCGAUGUCUUUUCGAAGGCGUCUUCCUCAUUGACGUUUGACCUCAAAUCAGGUAGGACUACCCGCUGAACUUAAGCAUAUCAAUAAGCGGAGGAAAAGAAACUAACAAGGAUUCCCCUAGUA